rnacentral:lncRNA from 1 species
AUGAGGAGACAUCAGCAUGUCACUUUCCUUGACACCCAACUACUGCCCCCAGAAGAGAUUCUUUCCAGGCUAAGAAAGACCCCACUGCCUAUCCAGCAGUGGGGCUCAGUAAGCCAUGAAGUGAUUUACAAACAUUGGCUACCAUGGUCUAUUACAGGUAGAAGCAACAGUGAAAAUCACGACGGUGAGAUCAAGCAAAGCAGAUGGACUGAAGGACAAGGACGACUCUGCCCAGCAGAGGGAGGGAAAGCCCGGGCUGGACUCCACGUGGCCGGAGCUCCCAGGAAGCAGAAGUUUGCUUGGUAAACUUGGAAUCGGAACCUGGGAAUUGGGCCACUGGGAUAUUCAAUGGCGUCAGACCGGUGUAGCUGAUACUCCUGGACAGAGGGGCUCUGCCAACUGGACAGAUGUGUGAAGUGUUGCUGACCGAGCUCCUUGCUCUGUGUGGGAGGGAGCUUGCCAGCUCCAGCCUCGUGGGUCUCCUUUUUCUAUUUCCAAGCUUAAAUAAGCACUUGGCUGUUCUGAUUAGCAUUUUUAAAAGCUGUGUUAAUAAGUUCAAUUAAAAUAGAAGAAUCUCUCAUUCUGUCAUAUCGGGGUUUUUUUUAAUUGCAAACCAAUAAAACUUAAAUGAACUUAAGCAAAAAAUAAUUUAUUGGAAGGAUAUGUGGGAGAUUGUACUAGGGUUCUCAAGAGAAACAGAGACUGAGGCAGAGAGAGAGACCAACUUUAACAAUGAUCUCACACAAUUGUGGGGGCUGGCAAGUCUGAAAUUUGGCCAGCAGGCUGAACAUUCAGGCGAGCUGAUGUUGCAGCUUGAGUCCAAACUCCACAGGACGGCAGGUUGGAAACUCAGGCAGGACUUCUGUGUUGCAGUUUCAAGAAUUCCUUCUUCGAUUUAUCUAUUUCCUCUCCAAUUUAAGUCCUGGAGGCUGGAAGUCUGAAAUCAAGGUGUCAACAGGGUUGGUUCCUUCCAAGGGCUCUGAGGGAAGGGUCUGUUCCAGGCCCCCUCUCCUUGGCUUGCAGACGGCAAUCUUCACCUUUAUGUGGCAUUUUCCCUGUAUAUGUGCGUGUGUCCACAUUUCCCCUUUCUAUAAGAACACCGGCCAUAUUGGAUCAGGAGCCCACUUACUGUUAACUAAUUACAUCUGCAAUGAUCCUAGUUCUAAACAAGGUCACAUUCUGAGGUACUGGGGUUAGAACUUCCACAUAUGAGUUUCGAGGGAACCAUCUUAGUUUGUUCAGGCUGCUAUAAUAAGACAUCAUAAAUUGAGUAGCUUAUAAAUAGCAGACAAUUAUUUCUUGCAGUUCCGGAGGCUGGGAAGUCCAAGAACAAGGUGCUGGCGGAUAUGGCUGGUGAGGGUCUGCUUUCUGGCUCAUACGUGGCACCUUCUACCUGUGUCCACACUUAGCGGAAGGGGGCAUGGAGGAGCUCCCUUGGCCCUCUUUGAUAAGGGCACUAACCCCAUUCACAAGGGCUCCACCCUCUUGACCUAAUCACCUCCUGAAGGCCCCACCCCCUAAUACCAUCACAUUGGAGGAUAAGAUUUCAACAUAUUAAUUUAAACAUUCAGAGCACAGCAAGACAAAUUAAACCAUAACGGGCCCAGGUGUGGUGGUUCACGCCUGUCACCCUGCACUUUGGGAGACCAAGGCAGGCAGAUCAUCAGAGAUCAGGAGUUCUGGGCAUAGUGGCAGGCGCCUGUCAUCCCAGCUACUUGGGAGGCUGAGACAGGAGAAUUGCUUGAACUCGGGAGGUGGAGGUUGCAGUGAGCCGAGAUCGCACCACUGCACUCCAGCCUGGAUGACAAGAGCGAAACUCCGUCUAAAAAAAAAAAAAAAAUUAGCUGGGUGUGGUGGUGCGCACCUGUAAUCCCAGCUACUCAGAAGGCUGAGGCAGAAGAAUUACUUGAACCCAGGAGGCAGAGUUUGCAGUGAGCUGAGAUCACGCCAUUGCACUCCAGCCUGGACAAAAAGAGCGAAACUCCAUCUCAAAACAAAAAACAAAAAACAAAAAACCAUAACGGAACAUAAUUCAAAUAAUAACAGAAACCAAGUUCAGAGGAGGGUGGAACUCAGGCUUGGGCAUGG